GGGGAUAUAGCUCAGUUGGCUAGAGCGUGUGACUGGCAGUCACAAGGCCAGGGGUUCGAUUCCCCUUAUCUCCA
rnacentral:tRNA from 1 species